GCAAUGAAUGUGGAUUAAAGCACUUCAUCACCCUUUCCAUUUAUUUAUUUUUUAAACAGACUUUAUACAUUGAGGGAAACGAUGGAAAAAUGUGCUGGAAAGUGUGGGAUGAAGGAACGAUUAAUGGGAAGACUCUUAUACAGGUUCUCCUAUCUGCGGAGGCUGAUGGCUUUCCAUUUGUGAGAGGAAGUACAUAUUGCAAACCAGCUUAAUUUCCCAAAGGCCCAACGAAGACUUCUGUAAUUAUUUGGCUCCGGGCCCGCAAACCCCUCCUUACUCUGUAAUGAAGCCAGAUGGAUCCUUAGCAACACAGAGACUCAGUGCUGAUGUUGCCUCGCAGAAGGUUCUGCUGCCUUCAUCGUUCCAGCCUGAGUCACAGUGGCAAGGGAAGACAACUGGAGGAACAGGAGCGAAAGAAUUAUUAUCAUCAACAUCACCACCACCAUCUGAAAACAUCCUUGUUUAGACAA